GCCGAGGUGGUGGAACUGGUAGACACGUACGCUUGAGGUGCGUAUGCCGAAAGGCUUGCAGGUUCGAGUCCUGUCCUCGGCA
rnacentral:tRNA from 2 species